UCUUUCGACACAAGCGAAGCUAUGUCAGUUGGACACGCGCUCGGAAAUCCUAUCUACACCUCUCGCGCGGGUGACGGGUGUUAUUUGGCCCGACACUCUGCUCUCUCCCUCCAUCCAACCUUAUCUUCUCAGUCGGCUGCCCUCAACCUUGUCUUCCCCGGUCGCCCCCCACGCGUUCUUCUCCACAUACAUGCGCAGAACUCCCACAACGCCCACCCAUCCCCUCCCUCCUUCCCAGCUCUGGAUCCAGAUGGAAUCGAGGCCACAACCGAGCGUCUCCUCAUGGCCUCUUCACGAGCUCCAACUGCCGCCUGGAGCUCAAGCUGCCAGCCGUCCAAGGCCUCGCCAGGAACGGACCCGCGACACCGUGCCUCGUCCUCGCACAUGCCCGGCCGCGCCAUCGAGCCCCCCGCAGUGUAGAGGCAGUGCUCCGCCACCCGAUGCUGUUCUUCGCGUCGCCCCACGCUCCCAAAGCUGGGAACCGGCUCCCCGCCUCCAAGUUCUCGGCAUCGACGUCCCGUGCUGCCUGCACCCUCGCCAAGCCCGACUCGCAGCCGUGGAGCCCGAGCUCGCCAAGGCGCUUCAACUCCGCCGCCGCGCCAUCUUCUUCAGGCGCUCGAGCACGAGCACAAGCUCGCCCGCGCCCCACCUCUCUCUGCCGCUCCGUCCGCCGCCCGUGGUGCCGUGACCCGCCACUGCCGUGCCCUGCAUCGCUCUGUAGCCGCGCCGCCUGGGUCGAUGCGGUCAGCGCUCCCAAGCCGUUGACCCUGCGCCAGGGGACGACCAUUUCCUCCCAUGCGUGCGCGCCCGUGCUCCAGCCCUCCCCUCCCCAUGCUGCCGGCACACUCGCGCCACGGGGCCGUAUCCAGCCUGUGCCUGGACGACGGAAGCCCCCCCACUGUCCGUGCGCUCCGGCCAGCUCCCUGUCGCGCUCGAGACCUCCUCUAGUCUUCCCGCCGAGGCCUUCCCUGUGACCAGCCUUUGACUUGGGUCUCCUGUCCGCCUCGGCGCGGACGCCCGCCACGACGCCGGCGGCAAGCGGCGGCGCGUCCCGGCGAUGGAGAACGGCAGGAUAAGCGGCGAGACGCGUGGUGCUGAGCCAGUCAAUAAGGAAUAAGGGCCGCGGGCAUAGUUUCUAACAAAUUUAGGGGGUUUUACGCAAAAACGAAACGUUUUUCCGAAGUGCCACUUAAGCAGGGACUGCGGGUUAAUUUCAAAGAAACAGAGGGGCUUUUUCGCAAAAACGCCGACGACGUACGACCAGAAGCACUCCGUGCUUUAUUAGUAUAUAUAUAUAUAUAUACUAGCACAAAUAUCCGUGCGUUGCAACGGGAGACAAAAACCUCAAUUCACUAAUGAAAUGGCUCACAUCACCCGACAUGAUGACAUCAUCUUUGUAUAAUAUAACAGAGAAAAGUGUGGAGUUUGUGUCGCACAUAGUGACUCCGAGUCCGACUUGUGAGUCAAGCAGAAAAACAAGAGUAACGAUUUAUUUUGUUCUCAGAAUAAUAUAGCAUAUGACCAGUAAAAAAGGAAGACUUUUUAUUGUAAUUUAGACAUAGUUUUUUUGCGUGUGUUAUACAUAAUAUUUUUUCACUGGAGUUAAACAAUUUCGAUACGUCAAAUAUUAGUAUUA